GUGACAGGGGACAGUCCGCAUUUGAAAUUUCUUUUUAGGUUACAAUGUGACCAUGAAGCUAACAGUCAUGAAGGAUGGCAUUUGAGUUCAUGGAAGUUCACAGAGGAGCUAGCAAGUCACUGUAUCUUUGUCCUUGGGCUCAUUCAAGGCCCUGCAAUAGAACUGAAAUUCACCCAACAUGGUAGGCACUUUGAUGAUUUUGCAGACUAACUGGUGAAUGACUCAUUAAAACUUUUUUCUUGGAAACCCCACUUUUGGGGGCCACUCUUGGGUUAAAAUAACUGGACGUCCUUGCAUAUCAUUGAAGGAUAUAGAUUCCCUUCAUGGUGGAUUCCAAAUCCAAGCCAAUCACAUGAAAGCCAGACCCAAAGUGCACUGAUCCUACAUCAAACAUGGGAACGAUUUUGUUUACAAAGAAGGAUGUAGGGUGCACUGGAGAUGGAAAUUUUUCUUGUCUUUUUUUUUUUGGUAUGUGUGAUGCCAGCAUGAAAGCCCAGGGCCUUGAGCACUCUAGCAAGCAGUCUACCAUUGAGUUACACGCCGAUCCCAGCUGUCUUUGUCUUCGAGAACUUCUAAGAUUUAUGGCACAGACUUACUGGCACCCUUUUCUCCUUGUGUGAACAUUAUGAUCAUUUAACCUGAGCAUGAAUGUCCAGCAGUCCACAAGUCUUUCCCCAAAGGGUUGAGACAAAAGAAGAGGCAGCUCCAGUCUGUGGCCUCUGUGAGAUCAGAGGCCACCAGAGAAGGCUGGAGCUCCUGCCUCUACCACCCUGCUGUGCCCGAAGGACUCCAUGAGGCAGCUGUUCCCCAAACCACCCAUGCCAUCAAGAAAGAAAGGGGCCAUGGCCAAGAGGCCAACUGGAGUGCAGACUCAGGGACCUCCAGCUGGGCUGGGGCUGAAACUGUGCAACGCUAAAGCUGGAGGGAGCCUCUGAGCUCCAUUCGUGUCCCAUUUCAUGGGAUCUGAGGCUCAGAGCAUUCAAGACAAGAUCCGCACCCGGAUUCUCAUCAAUCCCCGGUGACUCCACCCUUCACCCCGCUCUAUCAGCAGAACAAAAAACAUUUAAUGGAAGUGCACAGCGAGUCAAAUGAGGCAGGAAGAAUUGCAUGAGAACCUGGAGAAAAUGGAGUGUGCAGCUGAGAGGAAAUGGCCCGGAGUCCUGUGCUAGAGCACGCAGCGUCUUGGAGCACUCCCCGCAGAGGACUCAGCCCUCGCAAGCAGAAGUGGCAACUGGCUUUAUGGGAGAGAGAUUGGGCCAUUCCCCUGCAGUUACUGGCUCUCUGGACCUAGGGGCUGGUGGAAUUCAUGGCCGUGGAUUCUUUCAGAGAGCUAGAGUGAGAGCAAGCAUGUGAGGGUGAGUUACUUGUCUCUUCCUAAGUGUAGAACUAGAAAUUGCUCACAUAUUUCAAAAGAUUUUUAAUAAAAGCAAAUUUGGGUUAGUCAGAACCCAAAUCUGGAAACCACUCUUUUGACACAGGCCUGUGAGCAUGGAACAAACGCACACCCCUGGCUUUCUUCUCUAAGGCUUUCAGAACACUUCCCAUGAAUGCAUCCUGCCCUUCCUGACACUCUCAGGGUUGAUGGAAUUUGAGAAAGUCCUUGGUGUAUUAAUAAAACCGGCUUCAGUUUGGCCUCUUUAAAAAUAAAUCAAAAUAAGCUGGAAUCUUUGAACAAAACCUGUCCAUUUAAUGCAUGUAUUAGACAGGGCUGGGUUAUGUUGUGGUAGAAAAACAUCCCUCCAAAUCUCAGUGGCUUAAAACGUAAAGGUUUUCGGCAGUCCCUGUUUACCCAUAGUAGGUAUUUUAAACUGCCCAGUGGAUGCACGGAACUCCAGAUGGUAUGGAACCCUGUAUAUAUGAUGACUUUUUCCUCUGUCCCCUGCAGCAUGCCACACAGUACCAGUUACUGUAUUCCUCUGUGGGUUAUACCCUGGGCCUCCUUUGCAGCAUUAUUCCUGUGCCAAGGGACCUUUGUAAAGUAAAAUAAAGAUGACUCGAACACAGGCACUGUGACACCAUGACAAUCCACUCAUAAACCAAGACACUCUUAAUGACUAAGUGGCAGGUGGCAUAUACAAGAUGGAUAUGCUAGACAGGGGUGAUUCAUGUUCCAGGCAGAAUGGGGCAGAGUCAAAUGAGAUUUCAUUAUGCUCCUCAGAAUGCUUUGCAAGUUAAAAGUUAGGAGUUGUUUAUUUCUGGAAUUGUCAUCUUACUAUUUUGGAUUACAGUCCACCAUAGGUAACUGAAGGUGUAACUGGGAAGGCAGGGACUACGGUCUUACUCUUUCUCACUGUGUCUCCCUGAUGAGUGGGCUAGCACCUUCUCCAUCUCGACCUCAUUCCCAGAUCUUCCCAUGCCAAGAUAAAGGGAAAAUCACCUCGAACCACCACUGCUUCCUAGAACUUCUGUCUGGAUACAUGUCCCUUGGCUUGUGCCUUGGCUUACACCAGGCAUUUCCUUUCCUUUCCUUUUCUUUUAUUUGAGACAAGGUCUCGUUAUGUUGCCCAGGCUAGUCCCAAGCUUCUGGGCUCAAGCAAGCCUCCCAAGUAGCUGGGAUUAUGGAUGCACCACCAUGCCCAGGUGACACAAGGCCAUUCAUAAAUCCAAGUCAGCUGAAAAGGCAACCCAAGGAACAAGUGCCUCAGGGGACAAUCAGAACUGUGGUGACUUCCAAACUGUGGGCCUGGGAAGGGUGGGGUAAAAGGGCAGUGCUUCCAAUGCUCAGGGACCCAGAAGGCCAGGGACUUCCUUCUCCUGCCAUUAGGCUAAUCGCAUGACCUCCCUGAGACAUUGUCCCCGCACCACACCGUUUAGGUGCAAGUUACUUUCAGUUUUCUUCUCAUCUAUCUGUGUCCUCUCUGCACAGCACCUGGGGGUGGAAUAUGCUUCUGAGAGAUCUCCACUGAAACGGGCCACACUCUACCGGACGACAAGGUUCCGAGAGGAGGCAGAAAAAACAGAAGCCAGUCAAG
ensembl:lncRNA